GACGAACGCUGGCGGCGUGCUUAACACAUGCAAGUCGAACGGAAAGGCCUGCUUUCCCUUGUGGAUUGCGGGUACUCGAGUGGCGAACGGGUGAGUAACACGUGAGUGAUCUGCCCCCAACUUGGGUAUAAGCCUGGGAAACUGGGUCUAAUUCCCGAUAGGACUGCAGGGUGGUGCCUGUGGUGGAAAACGAUUUUCUAGUGGUUGGGGAUGAGCUCGCGGCCUAUCAGCUUGUUGGUGGGGUAAUGGCCUACCAAGGCGGCGACGGGUAGCCGGCCUGAGAGGGGGGACGGCCACAUUGAGACUGAGAUACGGCCCAGACUGCUACGGGAGGCAGGAGUGGGGAAUAUUGCACAAUGGGCGGGAGCCUGAUGCAGCGACGCCGCGUGGGGGAUGACGGCCUUCGGGGUGUAAACUCCUUUCGACCGCGAGGAAGCCACCUGGUUGGAAGGGUGGUGACGGUAGUGGUAGAAGAAGCACCGGCUAACUACGUG
rnacentral:rRNA from 1 species